rnacentral:rRNA from 1 species
UACGUAGGAUCCUAGCGUUGUCCGGAUUUACUGGGUGUAAAGGGUGCGCAGGCGGACUUAUAAGUCAGUGGUGAAAUCUCGGCGCUCAACGCCGAAACUGCCUUUGAUACUGAAGAUCUUGAGUCCGGGAGAGGUGAGUGGAACUGCGAGUGUAGAGGUGAAAUUCGUAGAUAUUCGCAAGAACACCAGUGGCGAAGGCGGCUCACUGGCCCGGUACUGACGCUGAGGCACGAAAGCCAGGGGAGCAAACGGG